rnacentral:misc_RNA from 1 species
GGAAGUAAAGGUCGUAACAAGGUUUCCGUAGGUGAACCUGCGGAAGGAUCAUUAUUGUAUAACCGAGGUGCGAGGGCUGUCGCUGACCCGAAAGGUCGUGCACGCCCGAGUGCCCUCACACACAUCCACCUCACCCCUAUGUGCACCACCGCGUGGGUCCCCCUUUGGCUUGUUCGGAGGGGGGCUUACGUUUUCACACAAACUUUGUAUGCAGUGUAGAAUGUAUUUUUUGUUUUUGCGAUCACGCAAUCAAUACAACUUUCAACAACGGAUCUCUUGGCUCUC